AAAAUUCAGAGGGUAAAAUUCACCCCAGUUAAGGUCAAAAUUUACUCGCUCUGCGAGAGUAACAAUCUAUGGGGCAGAAAUUACCCUAUAUCUAGGGUAACAAUUACACCAUUGGUUGACCAAUGGGUAACAAUUACACCAAUCUCGGGUAACAAUUACACCAAUCUCGUGAUGGGUAAAACUUACCCCCUUAAAAGGGUAAAGCGCUCUUUUAUCCGGGGUAGAAUUUCGCUGGGGUAAUAUUUACUCUGUUGAAAGUUCCCGGUCACGCGAUGUUUCAAAAUGGCGUCGUAUAAUAUUGCCAAUUUCUGAUCUAUUUUCACAAAGAGCUUUAAUAUUGUAGAAUGGUUCGCCGAGAAGGAAAUCUUUAUCAGAGUACGCUUUACAUGGUAAGUUAAUUAAAGAGCCAUUUUGUGCCCUAAGUUCAACGACUAAAGCUUUGCUUUAAUCAUGUUUUAAUAUUCUUAAGAGUUGCAAAUGACAGUUUAUAUGAAGCCGUGUUCUAGCCGUAAAUCGCUUGUCACGAUAUCAACUCCUAAUGUUUAGGCCUUAUAAUUAAUCUUGCCUUUUUAAAAUGUUUCUAUUUGUUAUUCUUGUUUCAUUUGGCCAUACCCUCUUGCUUUAAGCGCUAUUAAAAGAGGUUAUAGUAUUAUUUCUUGACAACCGAUUGAGUCAAGAAAAUACGACAAUAUUGUCAAUAUACAACAGAAAAUAGGCUAUAUCAAGAAGGACAGGCAGUCAGACGGUACAUAAACCGAAUAUUUACAAUGUCCAAGUAAUACUGUCCAAAAUAUUUAAAUUUUGAUUUAAUAUUGCUGUUGACCAAUAAUCCAAUUUAGUAUAAAUUUUGCAUAUCAAAUGAGCUUUCGCGCGUUCUGAUUGGCUAGUUGACUAGUAAAUCUGAGGCAUUAUUUACCACCUGGGUAGUAAAUAAUGCUUUUCAAAAAGAAUGAUUCGGCAAAUUUGGUUUCAAAAUCGACAAAAUAUUGAAAAAAUCGUCCCAGAAAAAGAAAAAAAGCACAAAAUGUUGUAUUUAACUUGAAAGGUAGGAUUUAGUAUUAUAUUACUGUGUCAAACAUAUUCACGGACUAUUUAAAACUUAUUUAAAACUCCGAAACAUUCGCUUCAAACGUAAAUCUGAAAUAGCAAAAAAUAUCCCGACUUUUGGGAAAAGCCGUGAUAUUCUUUUUAAAACAAUUUUGUUUUGUAUCCUAUAAAUAUCUCAAUUUGUACGAUACUAUUUCUUUUGACUAUGUCGUGUUUUCAUUGUGCUGUAUGGUGUCCUUUCGCUGUAUUGUACUAUUUGUGUUUUUAAAACUUGUAAAGUGAAAAGUGUAUUAAAACUUUUAUAUUAAUUCGAACGAUAUAGUUUUACAUUUCAUUUUACCAAAUUUCUCAGCCAUUUCCUGAACAAAUUAAUGCUAAACAGAAACUAUUUUUUAAUUCUAAGUCUGGUAAAAAAGUCAUUCCAUCAUUGUGUUUAUAUUCUAAGCAGAAAUCGAGAAAAAUAACUUUGUAAUAAAGCAAUAAAGUCGCACAGGAAGCCAUUUUGAAAGCGUGCGUGUACAAGAAACACUGCAACACUAAACCGUAAACCGGUGGAAAACAGUUUUAUUUCUGAAUUUUAAUUAAACUUAUAGUUGGAUAACUUGGAUAUUUUGUUUUAUUCAUUAAAAAUUUAUACUAAAACAAUUAUUCGCCUCAGGCUCAGUGAUUACGGUGAAUAUUCACCUCGACUUCGUCUCGGUGAAUAUUCACCGGUAAUCACUUCGCCUUCGGCGAAUAAUUGUUAAUUAGUUAUAGAAUACAAUUUACAUCAUUACAUGGAGUUAUAAGUAUAUAAGUUUGUUUAUUUGCACAAAUGCAGAAUAUUAAAAAUAUAGUUCUUGUUAAAACACGAGGUUGAGUUAGCAAUGUCUAGCACCAGACAAGUUUACUUGCCAAGGAGACAGCACUGGCACUCAAUGAAUUAAUUGACCUGUCUGCCUAAUAGUAUGUGACUACAAAGUAUCCCAUUAAGUUGUAUUUGCACCCUACUCUAUCAUUUUACCCUGUCUAUCACCAGACAUUUUUACUCGCCAUGGUCAAAAAUAUGCAUGUCGACUUAAAUUACUUAAUGACAAAGAUGUGGUAAGAAAUGCUUUAAUUACCAUGGCACUGGACACUUCAGAAAAGUUCAUUUAACUGCAAAGAGUUGUUAGAUGGUUUUCACUAAUAUAAAUGACAAGAGCUGAUUGCCUAAUUGUAUUGGGAGCAUAAACAUCUAUGGCUGGAGUAGAAAAAGCCAUUUUGUGUUGUAUUUAUAUUUAAAUUUUAUUUAUAGAAAUGAUGGCUACAUGUAUCAGCAAGGCUACUGUAAUGCACAAAAUAUAUGUACCAGCUUGGGACAUGCCUGUAGUUGGUUAAAGAAUCAAUCUAUUCUGAAUAGACAAUUAAAAACCUACAAUUUUGUUUCAAUUACUGUAAGCUGUUGUCUACCAAGGUGAAAGAAAUCAAUGAGGAUUUUCUCUAAAAUUAAAUUUUGACCAUAAUUCAUUCAUAAGUUAUUUUAGCAAAUCAUGUCAACCAUAAUAUGGUACAUGAAAUGGUUUCAUAAUCAUACCCGAUGAAACUAAACAUCAUUCUAACUAGUAUUCUGUUCAUACAAACAUGAUGCAUGGUAUCUGGGGGUAGGGAUAAAACCUGCCUAGAGUAUGUGUGUGCGCAUUGAUCUAUGGUCAUGAUUUGGAGUGCAACAUGUUGGCCAAGUUCAUAAUCAUUUGAAGCUAUGAACAACAGUGUUCUGUAGAAUGGGUGAAACAUUGCCCUGGAAUGGGCUGGAAGGGUCCAGGGUGAAUUAUUGUGGUAACAUUUAGUGACAAGAUAUUGCCCUUCCAAAUUGAAAUAAUGGGUUUGAUAUUAAAAUUGGCAUCUCCCUUUCACCCACCCCUCUUUGGGAGUGUGCACCCCUCAGUAAAUCUAUCCCUGUCUGGGGGUAUGUAGCCCAUCCACUUUGUCAUCCACCACACAGUAAUACAAAGUCUAGGAUACAGUAUUUAUAUAUUUACUCCUCUAUUUAUUGCAUACGUUUCAGUAAAAUGCUCUGUGUAUUCAUGGACAAGGUUGGCAUUGGUUAUCAUGGCUUUCACAAGUUUUCGCUCAUGAAACUAUUUCAUAAUUAAAAUAGUAGACUUUAGUAUACCUAAUUGGGUGUAAUAUUUAAAGCACGUUUAGGAGUGUAUGCUGUAAUUCAAAUAAUACUUUACAUGCCAUCUCAUUAGUGUUUGUAUGUAGGGUAUACUAAUUAGAGAGAUAUUUAGUUUCAUUGGGUAUGAAACCAAUUUCACGUAACAUACACGUAUUAUGGUUGACAUGAUUUGCAAAAAACUUAUGAAUUACGAGUGUUUGAAUUAUGUUUAAUAUCCUCCUUACUCCCACGCUUUAUAAUCAUAUUUCGCGUUUUAAUUUGACACCAGUUUAUCCGUACCCUUCCGUACCAGGCACCAUGAUAUUUGAAAAUAUGUCAUGCACAUGCCUAUCCACGUGUCUAGUUUACACCAAUAAGAGGGUGCGAAAUUUUGGCGCAAAGUACAUGGAUCUAAACUAAAAGACAGUCAGUGUG